rnacentral:rRNA from 1 species
GACGAACGCUGGCGGCGUGCCUAAUACAUGCAAGUCGAACGAGAGCGCCCGGUGCUUGCACUGGUCAAUCUAGUGGCGAACGGGUGAGUAACACGUGGGUAACCUGCCCAUCAGAGGGGGAUAACAUCCGGAAACGGAUGCUAAAACCGCAUAGGUCUUCGAACCGCAUGGUUUGAAGAGGAAAAGAGGCGCAAGCUUCUGCUGAUGGAUGGACCCGCGGUGCAUUAGCUAGUUGGUGAGGUAACGGCUCACCAAGGCCGGGAUGCAUAGCCGACCUGAGAGGGUGAUCGGCCACAUUGGGACUGAGACACGGCCCAAACUCCUACGGGAGGCAGCAGUAGGGAAUCUUCCGCAAUGGACGCAAGUCUGACGGAGCAACGCCGCGUGAGUGAAGAAGGUUUUCGGAUCGUAAAACUCUGUUGUUAGAGAAGAACAAGUGCUAGAGUAACUGUUAGCGCCUUGACGGUAUCUAACCAGAAAGCCACGGCUAACUACGUG